rnacentral:pre_miRNA from 1 species
UUUUCUACAAAUCGGAAUAACCUGAAAUUUGGAGCGUGUGUUCAUAAAAAAUAGGCGAAUCUACAAAAAAUAUCAGAAAAAUAUUUUACAUGAAAAUAUUUGACCAAAAUACCCCUGAAAAGUUUCGAGGGUAUUUUGGUCAUUUUUUGGGAAUUAUUUUUUAAUAUUUCUAUUAAGUGUGUCUCACUAAGAUGUACACACGCUCUAAAUUUCAAGUUAUUCUGAUUUGUAGAAAA